rnacentral:rRNA from 1 species
GACGAACGCUGGCGGCGUGCUUAACACAUGCAAGUCGAACGGGCCUGUCUUCUUUUUUGGGGGGUGGGUUGAGUGGCGAACGGGUGAGUAUCACGUGAGUAACCUGCCCUUCGGUCCUGGAUAACCGCUUGAAAGGGCGGCUAAUACGGGGUGGUCCGGUUGGUCCGCAUGGGCUGGUCGGGAUAGAUUCACUGUUUUUGGUGUUUCGGCGGGGGAUGGGCUCGCGGCCUAUGAGCUUGUUGGUGGGGUGAUGGCCUACCAAGGCGGGGACGGGUAGCCGGUCUGAGAGGGUGGGCGGCCACACUGGGACUGAGAUACGGCCCAGACUCCUGCGGGAGGCAGCAGUGGGGGGUAUUGCACAAUGGGCGGAAGCCUGAUGCAGCGACGUCGCGUGAGGGAUGGAGGCCUUCUGGUUGUGAACCUCUGUUUCCGGUGGUGAAGGCCCUGUCCGUGUGGUGGGGUUGACGGUAGCCGGGGAUGAAGCGCCGGCUAACUACGUG